GACGAACGCUGGCGGCGUGCUUAACACAUGCAAGUCGAACGGUAAGGCCCUUCGGGGUACACGAGUGGCGAACGGGUGAGUAACACGUGGGUGAUCUGCCCUGCACUUCGGGAUAAGCCUGGGAAACUGGGUCUAAUACCGGAUAGGACCCUGGGAUGCAUGUCCUGGGGUGGAAAGCUUUUGCGGUGUGGGUAUGGGCCCGCGGCCUAUCAGCUUGUUGGUGGGGUGAUGGCCUACCAAGGCGACGACGGGUAGCCGGCCUGAGAGGGUGACCGGCCACACUGGGAGUGAGAUACGGCCCAGACUCCUACGGGAGGCAGCAGUGGGGAAUAUUGCACAAUGGGCGCAAGCCGGAUGCAGCGACGCCGCGUGAGGGAUGACGGCCUUCGGGUUGUAAACCUCUUUCAGCACCGACGAAGCGCAAGUGACGGUAGGUGCAGAAGAAGGACCGGCCAACUACGUGCCAGCAGCCGCCGUAA
rnacentral:rRNA from 1 species